rnacentral:rRNA from 1 species
UACGAAGGGGGCUAGCGUUGCUCGGAUUGACUGGGCGUAAAGGGCGCGUAGGCGGUUCGUACAGUCAGACGUGAAAUUCCUGGGCUCAACCUGGGGGCUGCGUUUGAUACGUGCGGACUUGAGUGCGGAAGAGGGUCGUGGAAUUCCCAGUGUAGAGGUGAAAUUCGUAGAUAUCGGGAGGAACACCAGUGGCGAAGGCGGCGAUCUGGGAAGAUACUGACGCUGAGGUGCGAAAGCGUGGGGAGCAAACAGG